UACCAGCUCCUCGAGUUGUUGGGACGAUUAUUGGGUCUAAAGCGUCCGUAGCCGGCCGGAAAAGUUCACCGUUAAAUCCGACGAUUCAAUCGUCGGGCUGCGGAGAAUACUCUUCGGCUUGGGGGCGGGGGAGGUCGGCGGUAGUCCCGGGGUAGGGGCGAAAUCUUAUAAUCCCGGGAGGACCACCAGUGGCGAAGGCGGCCGACUAAAACGCGCCCGACGGUGAGGGACGAAAGCUGGGGGAGCGAACGGGAUUAGAUACCCUCGUA
rnacentral:rRNA from 1 species